UACGUAGGGUGCGAGCGUUAAUCGGAAUUACUGGGCGUAAAGCGUGCGCAGGCGGUUCACCAAGUCAGGUGUGAAAUCCCCGGGCUUAACCUGGGAAUUGCGCUUGAAACUAGCGGGCUUGAGUGUGGCAGAGGGGGGUGGAAUUCCACGUGUAGCAGUGAAAUGCGUAGAGAUGUGGAGGAACACCGAUGGCGAAGGCAGCCCCCUGGGUCAACACUGACGCUCAUGCACGAAAGCGUGGGGAGCAAACAGG
rnacentral:rRNA from 1 species